CGUGCCCGCUCCAGUGCCCUCAUGUCACCUCCUCACGUGGCGCUUUAUCACCUCACAUCCUCCCAGGAGGAAGCACUAUGACAGAGAGGGCACAGUCACAUAACCUGUGUUUCAGUCCUGUCGCAAUCACUCUGUUUUACCAGAUCCAGGAACUAAAGCCACAUCAGAUGUUUAUUUUAAGGAGCUAGAGAAACAUCUAAGUCCAUGCACCAAAUGAGACAGUCCCCGGUGUCAGGGGGAAACACCGGACGAGACGGCCACUCCAUAAAUCUUGCCGCACAGUGUUUGCGCGCAUCCUCGUGGGUUAGAAGCAGCAUUCGACCGAGAGAGUCUGUUGAGUGAAACAUCACCAGCUCCCGUUUGACCAAAAAUGGCUACAGAUAAACAAGUCUCAUCCCUGGCAGGAUGCGGCUCCGUCUGGCAAAUGUUUAUCAAGCGCCAGCUGUGUUCCAGGGAUGCAGAGGCGGAGAGCCACGGUCCGUGGCCCCUGGUAGCCCCCGGGUACACCGGGAAAGGACACUCUGGGUCAUCGAUGGGAAGGAGGCAGUGCCUUCGCAAAGAACGUGUAUUCUUCACUGUCAAUUAAUAAACUAGCAUCUGGUUUACUCAGAAACCGGUGGGGGGGGGGUGUGCUAGCUUACACAGCUUGGUUGACAGAAGCCAAUACUCAAUAGCAAGCAACUCUGAUCUCUGGAUGUUUUCAGCUGAGGCCUGGAUUGUGCCGCAGGUGCAGGUCAUUAAAAA